GCAAGUCGAACGGUAACAGAAAGAGCUUGCUCUUUGCUGACGAGUGGCGCACGGGUGAGUAAUAUAUAGGUAACGUGCCUCUUAGUCUGGGAUAGCCAUUGGAAACGAUGAUUAAUACUAGAUACUCCUUCUCAUUAUAAUUUGAGUCGGGAAAGUUUUUCGCUAAGAGAUCGGCCUAUAUCCCAUCAGUUAGUUGGUAAGGUAACGGCUUACCAAGGCAAUGACGGGUAGCGGGUUUGAGAGGAUGAUC
rnacentral:rRNA from 1 species